rnacentral:rRNA from 1 species
UACAGAGACUGCAAGCGUUAUUCGGAUUCACUGGGCGUAAAGGGUGCGCAGGCGGCCGUGUGUGUCGGGUGUGAAAGCCCGGAGCUUAACUCCGGAAUUGCGCCUGAAACUACAUGGCUAGAGCAUUGGAGAGGGUAGCGGAAUUCACGGUGUAGCAGUGAAAUGCGUAGAUAUCGUGAGGAACACCAGAGGCGAAGGCGGCUACCUGGACAAUUGCUGACGCUCAGGCACGAAAGCGUGGGGAGCAAAAGGG